UCUCAGAGGCAACUUCCAAACCACGUUUGAAAAAAUAGUUGCAAAACAAAUGUUCCUCCAAGUGGAAGACUUGAUUUCUCACUCUCUCCCUGAAAGUCAUGGCAUCUGAGAACUCUGAGAAACCUCUAGGAACAUAGGAAAGGGGGCUGGGGCUCUGUGUGCCUUCUUCAAGGUAAUGGCAAAAUACUCCCCUGGUGAAGACCACGGAUGGGAGUGAAAAAUAUUUGGCUACAAUCAAGCCACACAGAUCAAAAGGAUCUAGAAACACGGCAUCAAAAGAACUCUCUUCUAAGUAUUUCACUAAUUUUUUGUCAUUAAACAAACUCCCACAAUGUGAAAAAAAGUAUUUAUAAAAAUCAUAGCAUGAACUCCUUAAUAUAGAAAAUAAACUUUGCUCUCAAGUUUCCCUUCGAGAGUUGGAGAAUUUCAAGAAAUGGCUAUUCAAAUCCUCUAGAGUGUAAGGUGUGGUAUAAGUCUUCAGUGUAUAAUUAAAUGACUUUCCCAGUUGCCAACUCACGUCUGGUGUGACUACGACCAACUCAUGCCCUCUGUGGAUGAGUUUCUCCACAACAGAACUCAUGGUAAACCAGUGGCUCCCAUCCACAGGUACUACCAGCAGCUUGCCUGCCUCUGCGAAGCCAGAUGUCAGCAGGACACACACCCAAAGAGGAAGGAAGCCGGUCAAAACUGCAGACGCCAUGGGAUGACUGUGCCCAGAAAAAUCCAGCUGCUUAGAUUCUAAGCUCGGAUAGCACAGCAGAAAAAUAAACACAAAACCUGUCUCAGGGAAAAUUUGGGUUUUAUCCUCAGGCUACCAAAGACUGACCAGAAAGAGAAGGGCAUCCCAGGUUCCAAGGAAAGACUCAAAACCUAACCUCCUCAUGGAACAAUGGGCUGUGGUUCACAAGGGUCUCUGAAAUGCUAGGCAUUGCUGCUUGUCUUGUCUCAUUUCCAAACCCUCUGGGGCUUCCAAAAUGUGAGGUAAGAUUGACAACCCCAUCUACAUGGACCAUUCUAGGAAUUCAAUGGAUUGUGACUGUCAUCUAUUGUAAACUGCUUUCUCUAGAUAUGACACACGCAGUGAUGGUCACCUCCCCAGUGUUUGCCAGAAGCAUUCUGGCUGGGACUCCUCUCUUUUCUCUCUGCUUCCACACUCCUCUGUUUAGACCUCUGCUGUUGGGUCACCUCCAUCAACCAGAUGCCCUCCUUCAGGAAUUUCUGUAUCCCUCUCCCACACUCUACCAAGUACUCCUUGAGGUCAGGGGAUAUGUUUUCUUCAUGUUUGCACUCCCCUCCCCUAGUACCCAUGCUGUGCCUCACAAAGAGAAA